rnacentral:tRNA from 1 species
AAGGGAGACCUAAUUCCGGUAGGAGACGAAAAAAAAGUAGUCCCAACCAAGAAUCAAUCCCAAAAGGUCGAAGCGAGGCAAGAUUGGCUUUCAAACUAGGUUCUGGGUUCAAACAAGACCUGAAUCAGGAACAAGGGCUAUUAGCUCAGGUGGUUAGAGCGCACCCCUGAUAAGGGUGAGGUCCCUGGUUCGAGUCCAGGAUGGCCCACCUGCACAGGUGGCAAAAACAAAGAAGCGAGGAAUCAGCACCUUAUCUUACUCAUAUAGUAAGAGAGAAUGCUGGCUCUGAGUAAAGAGUCCAGAGGAACCUUGAAAACUGCAUAGAGCUAGGUGAAAAAGCCAAAAAAGAAGACCGCAA